CUACAAUGAAUUUAUUACUCCUCGGAAACUUUCUAGCAGAAAGGGAGAUGGAUCCAUUAUGGCAGAGCCCGGGGUUUCAAUCAGCCACCUCCUGCAGUGCCCUUGCAGUUUUUGACCCAUCCCUGCUUCCCCUGAAGUUCUCGCUGGUGACAGAAAAACAGCAAGGAAAAAAACCCCUCCUUUCCAAGAAUCUUUGUGCCAUGUGAACAAAACCACAGUGAGGUAGACCUAACAACCUAGCCACCACCACCACAUUCCCCCGGACGCUGUGGAAUGUCCAGACACACAUAAUUCUACCCCAGUUCUUUGGAGAGACUAUUUCCCUACCCAGACCUAC